rnacentral:rRNA from 1 species
UACGUAAGGGCGCAAGCGUUGUCCGGAAUUAUUGGGCGUAAAGAGCUCGUAGGCGGCCUGUUGCGUCCGCUGUGAAAUCCCGGGGCUCAACCCCGGGCCUGCAGUGGAUACGGGCUGGCUGAGGCAGGCAGGGGAGAACGGAAUUCCUGGUGUAGCGGUGAAAUGCGUAGAUAUCAGGAGGAACACCGAUGGCGAAGGCAGGUCUCUGGGCUGACACUGACGCUCAUGCACGAAAGCGUGGGGAGCAAACAGG